rnacentral:ncRNA from 1 species
AUAAAGUUUUAUUCUAAUUUAUAAUUUAAAUUUAAGGCUAUUUUACAUGCAAAAUAUUUAAUUAGUUCAGUUUCUUGAGGAAAAUUAUCUGAUGGUCGCAGUACUUAAUAUUAUUAAUUAUUAAAGAUAGAAAUAGUAAUUUUUAAUAGAAGAAACAAAAUUCGUGCCAGCAGUUGCGGUUAUACGAUUUCUUUAAUUUAAAUAUAAAGGCUUCAGUUAUAAUAUAAUAAAUUAUUAAUUAGUUAAUUUUUGGUAAAAUAACAUUUAACUAAAUAUUUUAACUUAUGUCUGAAAAACUUAAUUAUAAACUAGGAUUAGAUACCCUAUUAUUAUAAGUGUAAUUAAUAAGGCUUGAUUAUUAUUAGUUAUGAUCUCUAAAAUCAAAGAUUUUGGCGGUAAUUUAUCUAAUCAGAGGAACCUGUUUUAUAAUCGAUAUUCCACGAUAGAGAUUACUUUUAUUAUACUUGUAUAUCUCUGUCAAGAAUGUUUCAUUAGAAUUAUUUUCAUUUAUUUUAUUUAUUAUAUGUCAGGUCAAGGUGCAGUUUUAUAGAAGUAGAAAUGGGUUACAGUUUAAAUAAUAAUUGGAUUAAUUUUUUCAUUAAAAUAUAUGAAAUAGGAUUUGAAAUUAAAAUAAAUUACAUUAAAUUUAUUGAAAUUAGUUAUAAGUUAUGUACAUAUCGCCCGUCACUCUCAUUUUAAGAUGAGAUAAGUCGUAACAAAGUAGCUGUACCGGAAGGUGUAGCUAGAAUGA